rnacentral:rRNA from 1 species
GACGAACGCUGGCGGCGUGCUUAACACAUGCAAGUCGAACGGUGAAGCGCCUUCCUUUUUGGUGGGUGUGGAUGAGUGGCGAACGGGUGAGUAACACGUGAGUAACCUGCCCCCUUCUUCUGGAUAACCGCAUGAAAGUGUGGCUAAUACGGGAUAUUCUGGGUCUGUCGCAUGAUGGGUCUGGGAAAGAUAUUGUUUCGGUGGGGGAUGGGCUCGCGGCCUAUCAGCUUGUUGGUGGGGUGAUGGCCUACCAAGGCGGUGACGGGUAGCCGGCCUGAGAGGGUGGACGGUCACACUGGGACUGAGACACGGCCCAGACUCCUACGGGAGGCAGCAGUGGGGAAUAUUGCACAAUGGGCGCAAGCCUGAUGCAGCGACGCCGCGUGAGGGAUGGAGGCCUGCGGGUUGUGAACCUCUUUCGCCAGUGAAGCAGGCCUGCCUCGUUUGUGGGUGGGUUGACGGUAGCUGGAUAAGAAGCGCCAGCUAACUACGUG